GUUCAAAGAAGUUAACAAAACACUGGCGGGAUGCUGGAAAGUUGCUGCUGAUGGGUGUCUCAUGCAUAUCUUCUGGCUGACUAUUUCACAGGACUAGCAGCCAUAACUGAAAAAGGAACAGGACCCCCUUGAUGAGGUACAGAUACAGAAGAUGGAGAAUAUGAGGAAGUUUGUUGAAAGAAAUUAAGCUCAUGCACUGGUAUCUAAAACUACAGGAAUUAAAGUCUGGCAGCAGCAACAGAUCUACA